GCAAAUAAGUGCCAACAGAUACAGGUUUGGAGAUUCCCAACAGCUGCGGAUGGUUCGAAUCCUGCGGAGCACAUUGAUGGUCAGGGUGGGAGGAGGCUGGACUGCUCUUGAUGAAUUCCUGGUAAAGAAUGACCCCUGCAGAGUGAAAGGUCGGACCAACCUGAAGAUC